CUCGCCGCCGGAGCCGGCCUUGACGCCGCGAUGGUCGUCAACGCUGCGCCCCGGGACGAGACGACAUGUGGCCGCUUCGCGGCUGAAUCGCAAC
ncrna:Halorubrum halophilum eL15-Euryarchaeota ribosomal protein leader